rnacentral:rRNA from 1 species
GACGAACGCUGGCGGCGUGCUUAACACAUGCAAGUCGAACGGAGUGGCGAACGGGUGAGUAACACGUGAGUGAUCUGCCUUGCACUACGGAAUAAGCUUGGGAAACUGGGUCUAAUACCGGAUAGUGCAAGAUGAGCUCGCGGCCUAUCAGCUUGUUGGUGGUGUAAUGGCCUACCAAGGCGUCGGCGGGUAGCCGGCCUGAGAGGGUGUACGGCCACAUUGGGACUGAGAUACGGCCCAGACUCAGACUGGAGGCAGUAGUGGGGAAUAUUGCACAAUGGGCGGAAGCCUGAUGCAGCGACGCCGCGUGGGGGAUGAAGGCCUUCGGGUUGUAAUCUCCUUUCGACAGGGACGCGGUACCUGUAUAAGAAGCACCGGCUGACUACGUGCCAGGAGCCGCGGUAAUUC